AGCUGACGUCACGCCCAGACGUCCCAAGGUAUGAGCUGUAGAUACGCACGUGAGCGCUGGUGGGAGACGCCAGGCUGGGAUUUCCGCUCGAUCUGGGAAUGAGCAAUGCAACCUAAUGACACCCAGAGCUCCUGAAUCACCCGAGGAAAAUGACGAGAGACUCCCUCCGGUGGGAACGUCUCCUAGAAACAAGGCCUAAGAUGGGGCGACAACAGCCCCACAGCUGUGUCCAGAUGCAGGGAGCACUCGCCUGUGCUGUAAGUCUGUCCCACAGUGGAGAAAAGGCUCAGACCCCACGGCUCUGCUGUCCACCCUCAGUGCGGGGGAGAGGGGGGAUCCAUAUCGGCAGUCAAGGAGCGGGAAUCUGAAAAGGCCAAGGCUGAACCCUGCACAGAACCCAGACCUCCGUGUGCCUCCAGAAACAGCCGAGGCUGGGCCUUCCUUGAGAUACUCUUCAACUUCAAGGCUCUUCUCACCUGAGCUCCUUGGAAGCUGUCCCAGACAGCUGCUGGUCCCUCCUCUGUCCCCACUGUGCAGAGUGUGGCCCCACUGGAGAGACUGUUUUUCCCCCCGUGUAUUGGAGUCAGUCACCCUCACCUGGAAGAAUGGGACUGUUGAAUUGAGGCAUCAUGGGUCACUUCCAUCCCAGAGCGUUUGAUUUGAGUGGUGAGGGACGGCCGGUGUCAUCGUUGGAGCUUCCUAAGAGUCCCAGAGGCUGAUGCACCUCCCAGACUCUCCUCGGCCCGGCUCCCUGGGCCCUGCUCCAGGGGCUUCAUUGCUCCCUGCCCCGGGUCACCCCUCGGCUCACCGUCUCUCAGGUGUGGAAUAUCCUGCUCCAAUCAAAGCCAUGUCACCUGCGUUGUCCAGUGAAACAUCAGUGGACAGGCGCUGCCCGGGCUCCAGGGAGCUCCUCACUGAGGCUCACUCCCUGUGCCUCUGCCAUCAGCACAGGGGGACAUGCCUGGCUGCCUGUGGGACCAGGGAGGACGCGCGGUGCGGGAGCAGAGCCAGCCACACUGCCGCUGCUGCACUGUUCAUCUGAGUGGCGCAAGAUUCAGUGCCUGCGUCAUAGAAGGGUCCGUGUCAGUAAGGAAGUGAAAAGCAAGAUGGAAUACUGGAACUCUCCUGGCAGAUUGUCUGAAGUCAAUGUGUUUUCUGGUAUGGCUUCUUCUUUGUUUUCUUCCUCAUCAUCCGGCGCUGGUUCAGAAGCACUCACCUCCAUCAAGUCGUCUUCUGGUUAUUGUCUUCUGUGAAUUCCUCUGGUGUGGUGUCUGUUAGCUCUUGGAUUUCUCCAAGAUCCAUAUCUUGAAAUUCUUCAACCCCCCAUCAUUAUUUUUGCCAGAUGCACAAUCACUUUCAUGAUUUUUUUGAUUGGCUCUGUUGUAAACCCUGUGAAGUCAUGUACAACAUCCAGACAUAGUUUUUUUUUUUCCAGCAGGAAUUCAUAGUUUCAGACUCGAUGGCUUUCACAGCUUUUUCUACCGAUGGCAUCUUCCACGGUGUAGUCCUUCCAGACUUACAUGACAUUCUUGCUACUGGAAUUCUGUUCCAUAACGUUGACAAUCCUGGCCAUACAGUACUGUGCUUAAUGGGCCUUAAAAGUCCUUAUGACUCCUGAUCUAGAGGCUGAAUUAGAGACAUUGUAUUUGUCUUGUCUUGUAUUGUAUUAAAGACAUUGUAUUGUAUUUGGGGACAAGACCGCUUUGAUGCCUUUGGUGUUGAACCCAAGGCGUUCUGGGUGGCCAGGGACAUUAUCCAAAAUCAAACAGAUUUUAAAAGGCAGUCCCUUACUGGCAAGGUACUUCCUUACAUCAGGGACAAAGCAUCCAUGAAAUCAAUCCAGGAAAAGGGUGCUCACUGUCCAGACCUCCAUGUUGUACAAGAGACUGGCGGCUGGUGUUUAUCUUUUCUCUUCAAGCCUUGGGGGUUAGCAGCUUUAUAGAUAAGGGCAGUCCUGACCAUAAACCCAACUGCAUUUGCACAAAACAGUAGAGUUGGCCUCUCCCUGCCUGCCUUCAGUGCUGGUGCUCACUUCUCUUUCUUACUAAUAAAUGUCAUUUGUGGCAUUUUCCUCCCAAAAUAGAGCACUUUCAUCAGCAUUAAAAAUCUGUUCAGGCAGAUAGCCUUUAUGCUCAUUGAUUUUCUUAAUGGUGUCUAGUAACUUGUCUCCUACUUCUUGGUAAGCAGAAGCUGCUUCUCCUGUUAUCCUGACAUUUUUUGAAAGCCAAACCUCUCUCUUUCUAAAAUUAUCAAACCAUCUUUGGCUGGCAUUAAACUCUCCAGCUUUAGCUUCUUCACCUUCCUUUUGCUUUAAGUUGUCAGAUAAUGACUUCAGUUUUUCUCAAAUCAUUAAAGUCUACAGUAUGCCUUUCUCGUAGUAAUUCUGCACCCACACAAAAGCUGCAUUUUCAAUAUGAAAUUCAAACGUAUGCUACAAAAAGUGUGAGGUGUUUGUGCUUGCUGGUAUAGCUGCAGCAACGGCUUCAUGGAUUUCCUUUUCUUUCUUUCUUUCUUUUUUUUGUAAUGGUCCUUACGCUAAAUUCAUUUAUCUUGAAUUGGCAAGCAAUCUCAGCUGCAGACCUUGACCUAGAGUACAUAUCAGGCAAUUCAACUUUGUAUUGUAAUGUCAUGACUUUUCUCUGCUUCUUGGAGCACUUCCAGCAUCACUAGUGGCACUUCUCGUAGGUCUCAUGGUGUUACUCAAGGUUUAUGGUAUUGCAGUAAAUAUGAUUAAAAAAAUACAUGAGAACCACAAGAGAUCACUUUUUACUGCAAUAUGUAAUUUACUGGAGCGAUGAGCUGUGCAUGGGGAGGUGAUUAGCAUCACACUGCAUUUCCAGCAAAUACUCAGAACACUUGAGCUCACCGUAGUAGCAACAGGAGGUGGCCAUGAAAUUAUGACAGUGGUAUGUGACGUACUACAGUGAGUUUUAUGCAUCUUUAUGUUUGUUUACAUUUCUCUUGACUGUGAAUGAUGCCAUGUAAAGUCUGUGUUUAUAUGUGUAAUUUUGAUAAAUUUUAACUUUUAUAAUAAUUUGUCUAACAUUGUGGUAGUAAAUGAUAAGAUAGGCUAGUAUCUACAUUUAUUUUAUGUAUUCAUGGUAUGCCUAACUUUAAUUUUUUUCCAAUAUUUCUAGGUUAUGUGUUUCAGCUGCGAGUUUUUCAAAUUGUUGCAAAUCUUCAAACAUUUUUCCAACAAAUUUACUGAAAAAAAUCCACAUAUAAGUGGCACCCCCACCAGUUUAAACCUGUGUUGUUCAAGAGUCAGCUAUUUUUAUGAGGUGUUUUCAAAAGUUUAUGGAAAAUGAAUCUUAUGAAUAAAACUAUGCAUGGAUUUCAAAUCUUUUGCACCAAAAUAAACUCAUACUAACUUGUUAUAAAAUGUCUGAGUUUUAUACAGUUUAGUUUGAGACACUAAGAAAGAUAAGACAUCAGUUUGGAAAGGGUCAUCAGAGCAACGUGAAUUAUGCAAAACUGAAGCAAAAACAAACACCAAAUUUAUGGUGAAGGUUAGGUAGAGGAAUGGUGAAGUCAUUGAUGCUUUCUAAACAGUUUAGGUGGAUAAUGCCCCACAGAAAGCAGCCAUUUACAAAUGGUUACGCCAUUUUAAGAAGGAACAGGAUGAUGUUGAACAUGAAGCCUGCAGCAGCAGACCACAUCAAUUUGAGAGGAAAAAAUUAAUCUUGCUUAUGCCCUAGUUGAAGAGGACUGGUGCUUAGCAGCACAAACAAUAGCCAACACCAUAGACACCUCAAUUGGUUCAGCUUUCCCAAUCCUGGCCAAAAAAUUAAAGUUGAGCAAAUUUUCUACGUAAUGAGUGCCCAAACUUGCACCCAGAUCAGUUGCCAACCAGGGCAGAGCUUUCAAUGGAAAUUUUAAGCAAGAGGGGGAUGAAGAUCUUGAAGCAUUGCUUUGAAGAAUUGUAACAGGAGAUGAAACAUGGCUUUGCUAGUACCAUUCUGGAGACACAAUCAAAGCAAUGGCUACCAAGAGGUGGAAGUGCUGCAGUCACAGCAAACGUGGCCACCCAAGAGCAAAGGUCAUGGCAACAAUUUUGGGGAAUGUUCAAGGCAUUUUGUCUGUUGACUUUCUGGAGGGCCAAAGAACAAUAACAGCUGCUUAUUAUGAGAGUGUUUUGAGAAAGUU
rnacentral:lncRNA from 1 species